CUUGCACCAAAAAAUAUAUAUAUAACACUCUGUUUUAUUAUUUUUUUCUCAAAGACCAUUAAAUACUAGAUGGAAACAAGAACUAAAUAAUGAAUGUAAAGAACCAAAUUUCUUUUAAAACUAGAGUUGCACAUUUUAAAACAUUAAUUCUAAGCAAUGAUUUGUCUUCACUGCAUCAAGUUCCAAGUUCAAACUCCAGCAACAGUAGAUCUGUUAAACCACCAAGUGCAUUGGUUCCUAGCCAUACAAUGGCUAACAUUUCACUUUCCUGGUGAGAGGAGCAAAAAAAAAAAAAAAAAAAAAGAAAGAAAGAAAGAAAGGGGCUUUGUUGCUGCCCUUUGCUCUUUAAAAUAUAAAACAAAAACAAACAAUAACAUUUCCUAACUAUCCAGUGAUUGUGGGUGUGUUUUUUAAAAGAUCACUACCCUUUAAAAUUUGUUAAAAGAAUAAGAAAUAUGUAGUGUUUUAAAUAAAAUGGAAAACAAACCCAACAGCAUGAGACUAAGAUACGUGAUUAUUUUAAACUAUAAACAGUGCACAAUCUGAGGAAGUUUGGUUAGGGCGCAGUUGUUUUUAUAUAUACAUGGAAGUCACAUCAUAUACAUACUGGAAAACAGGAAUUUAGGGGUUCUGCUUAUUUAUUUAUUUUUAAUAGGAAAGACUAAACUAUGUCCUCAGUUCCCUCAGACACCUCAUGAGAUAGGAAAAAGCAGGUUAACUAACAUAUUGUUUUCCCUCUCAGUUACCUACAGUGCUAACUUGCUAAAAAUGAUGCACAUUACUAAAUUAGGAAAUCAGGAAAAGAUUUGUAUUCACAAUUGGUACAAUGAUACCAGCAUUAUGGGAUGCUCAACUGCAAAGGAAAGGGGAUCCAUUUAAUUUGGCCCCUUCAAAUAAAAUAAAAAGAAAAAAAAAAUUAGCAGAUACCAAAAAGCAGCAACUACAUCUUACAGGGCAUGAUCAUACAAUACAUAGGUCAUUGGUUCAAAUUCUAAUUUAUUUUUUAAGUUGGGAUAGAAACCAAUCUGUAGCCUACCUGUACCAUUUAGCACAAAGAUAACUCUGAAAAGAGAACUGUCUCUGUGAUCUAUUGCUUUGGGGAAUUUUUCCUAUGCUUUGUGCUACCAAAUGAAAAAUUCACAUAAAUAGAAUCCCUUAAGAAGAAAUUCCAAAAACCAUCUAAAUUGCUUUCUCACCAUGGAAUUUUGUAAAAAUCAGAAGACUGCUUAAAAGUACAUCUCCAGUCCUUAGGGGCUAGCAUUGAAACAACUGGUGCCCAAAAUCUCUGAAGAAUCAGUAUAUAAAAAGAUGGGCUCCAAAUACAGUAGAAAAAUGAUUAUAAUGUUCAUGACAUUAUCAUCUCUCUCCUCUUCUUAAUUCCUGGAUCUCUAUCUCCACUACUAUUUUGUUUUGGAGACUAUUGGAAAGUUUAGUCAGUUGGGAUGUCUAAAGAGGGAAAGGGCAAUGAGAUUUGAAAGGUACCAC
rnacentral:lncRNA from 1 species